rnacentral:rRNA from 1 species
CAGCAGCCACGGUAAUACGUAGGUGGCAAGCGUUGUCCGGAAUUAUUGGGCGUAAAGGGCUCGCAGGCGGUUUCUUAAGUCUGAUGUGAAAGCCCCCGGCUCAACCGGGGAGGGUCAUUGGAAACUGGGAAACUUGAGUGCAGAAGAGGAGAGUGGAAUUCCUCGUGUAGCGGUGAAAUGCGUAGAGAUGUGGAGGAACACCAGUGGCGAAGGCGACUCUCUGGUCUGUAACUGACGCUGAGGAGCGAAAGCGUGGGGAGCGAACAGGAUUAGAUACCCGAGUAGUCCCUGUCUCUUAUAC